rnacentral:rRNA from 1 species
UACGUAGGUGGCAAGCGUUGUCCGGAAUAACUGGGCGUAAAGGAUGCGUAGGCGGUUAAACAAGUUAUAUGUUAAAUAUAUAGGCUUAACCUGUAGAAAGCAUAUAAAACUGUUUAACUAGAGUGCAGGAGAGGUAAGUGGAAUUCCUAGUGUAGCGGUGAAAUGCGUAGAGAUUAGGAAGAACACCAGUGGCGAAGGCGACUUACUGGACUGUAACUGACGCUGAGGCAUGAGAGCAUGGGGAGCAAACAGG